UACGAAGGGGGCUAGCGUUGUUCGGAAUUACUGGGCGUAAAGCGCGUGUAGGCGGGUCCUUAAGUCAGGGGUGAAAUGCCAAGGCUCAACCUUGGAACUGCCUUUGAUACUGGGGAUCUUGAGUCCGGGAGAGGUGAGUGGAACUGCGAGUGUAGAGGUGAAAAUUCGUAGAUAUUCGCAAGAACACCAGUGGCGAAGGCGGACUCGCUGGCCCGGUACUGGACGCUGACGAGUGCGAA
rnacentral:rRNA from 1 species